CCAGAUUAGGGCUUCAAUUUAUCAGAAUCUGAAACUAGGGUUUUCAGAUCAAGUAUUAGGGUUUCAGAUUUUGAAUUAGGGUUUUGUAAUCAAUUUGUUAAGAUUAACCCUAAUUAAUCUUAUAAUUAUUUACACUUAUGCCAUUAAGUUCCCGAUUUAGGGUUUCAUGCACCGAAUUAGGGUUUCGGAUUCUCGAAACUGAAACUAGGGUUUCCAGAACCGAUUUCUAGGGUUUCUUAUCAAACGUUAGGGUUUUCUAACUGAACGUUGUUGUUCUUAAUAUAUUCUUAGGGUUUGUUACAGAUAUAAUUUAUCUGGUCAACCCUUGACCCUUAACCACAUUCUGAACACGUACAUAACCAUAAACACAACACAUAUUCACAUAAAUCCUUAAUCCUGAAUAAUUCACCUAAAUCCUUCACAGAAUUUUGAAAUCCUCAAAAUUCCAUCCUAAUAACAUCAAACGCAUACACUUAUUUUCUAUCUAGGUCUAUUAUUUGACCUUAAAUCAAUCAUUUAAGAUUUUACUAAAUUGUCCAAAUUCUCGGGUUGUCACAUUCACCCCUCCUUCUAAGAAUUUCGUCCCCGAAAUUCACCUUACACCUUACACCGUAUACCAAAUAGCUUACACCAUUCACACAUAUCACAUGCUACCCAAUACACCACUCACCAGAGUAAAAGUUUUCAAAUUGUGCUGAGGGGUCGUAUAGACCAUGAACACUUAGUUUUAACGGUAGUGAUCAUACCGCAAAACAAUACAUUACUUGGUAUGUUUACAAUCACAAAGAAGGUAAACUACCAUUAAUAGUACUUUAGGUGAUUAGCCUAUCGUACUCUUACGUCAUGCAUAACGUAUUAAUUAUGUGUUGCGAAUAUUUACGCUUCUCGAUUGGAUUAUUUAUCCAAACAACAUUGUUCACCUCAGUCUUAUUAUAGGAUUCCGUACCAAAACAAUUUGGUUCGGGAAAU
rnacentral:lncRNA from 1 species